rnacentral:rRNA from 1 species
AUUCCAGCUCCAAUAGCGUAUAUUAAAGUUGUUGCAGUUAAAAAGCUCGUAGUUGGAUUUCUGACAGGGGGCCGAACACCACUGUAGUGAGUGUUUUGGUACCUGUCAUCCUUCUGUUAACCCUAGCGUCAUUCAUUUGUCGUUGGGCGGACCAGAUACUUUACCUUGAGAAAAUUAGAGUGUUUCAGGCAGGCCUAGCCGGAAUACAUUAGCAUGGAAUAAUGGAAUAGGACUAUAGUCUCGUCGUUGGUUACGUGGACUGCAGUAAUGAUUAAUAGGGAUAGUUGGGGGCAUUAGUAUUUACAUGUCAGAGGUGAAAUUCUUGGAUUUUAGAAAGAUGAACUACUGCGAAGGCAUUUACCAAGGAUGUUUUCAUUG